ACGGAAGGGGCUAGCGUUGUUCGGAAUCACUGGGCGUAAAGCGCGCGUAGGCGGCUUGGCAAGUGAGGCGUGAAAGUCCUGGGCUCAACCUGGGGACUGCGCUUCAGACUGCUUGGCUUGAGUCCGGAAGAGGGUGGUGGAAUUCCGAGUGUAGAGGUGAAAUUCGUAGAUAUUCGGAGGAACACCGGCGGCGAAGGCGGCCACCUGGUCCGGAACUGACGCUCAAGUGCGAAAGCGUGGGGAGCAAACAG
rnacentral:rRNA from 1 species